ensembl:lincRNA
CAGGACUGCAUUUCACCCAUAUGUAUGAGGGUGAUUUGCUUGUUAUUCUCUUGAUAAUGUUUCUGGGUCAGAGCUCAGAAAAAUGGGCUUUCUGGACAUAGAUUAUGACUGUUUGACCGUGUUUUCCCUCAGAUUCUGAGGUUAUUUCUUGAUUUCAUCAACCUUUCCUCUUCUCCCUCAGCACCCUAAGCAUGGCCUCCCUGAUGGGCUUGGACUUGACACUGUAGAUGAUGGGGUUGAGCACAGGGGGCACCACCAGGUACACGUAGGCAACAAGGGCGUGUACUAUGGGGGGAAGGUGUCUCCCAAAACGGUGGAUCAUGGACACACCUAUGACUGGGAUGAAGAAAACCAGAACGGCUAAAAUAUGAGAAACACAAGUGUUGAGGGCCCGGAUACGCUCCCUGGGAGAGGCCAGACUCAUCACUGUAUGAAGAAUAAGGGUAUAGGACAGCACAAUAAGCAAGGAGUCAAAACCCACUGUGGACAGAACCACAUACAGCCCAUAAAUGAUAUUGACAGUAAUGUCAGCGCAGGCUCGUUUCAUGACAUCUGCAUGGAAACAGAAUGAGUGGGACAGGAGGAUCUUGCCAGGGCAAAAGUUCAGUCUCUUUAGUAAGAAGGGCCCUGGGAAGAGGGACACAGUGGCUCGGGCCACAACGGCCAGCCCAAUCCUGAUGAUGACAGUGUUCGUGAGGACAGAGGCAUAGCGCAGGGGGUUGGCGAUGGCCACAAAGCGGUCAAACGACAUGGCCAGGAGCACCGAGGACUCCACCACGGAGAAGAAGUGGAGGAAGAACAUCUGGACCAGACAGGCGUUGAAGCCGAUGAGCCGAUGGUCAAACCAGAGCACAGCCAGCGUGGUGGGCAUUGCGGCCAAGGUGAGGCCCACGUCGGUGAGGGCCAGCAUGGACAGGAAGUAGUACAUGGGCUGGUGCAGGCUGGGGGUCCUCCUCACAGCCAAGAGGAUCAGGCAGUUUCCAGUGAGGGCCGCAGUGUACAUGGAGGAGAAGGGGAUGGAGAUCCAGCCAUGAAUGGCCUCCAGGCCUGGGAUGCCAAUCAUCAGGAAAGCAGAAGGCUGGAAGAAGGAGAUGUUGGCAAAGGACCAGGAAGGGAACAUCCUUAGGGGCCAGGUGAGGGCUCCAGAAAUUUGUGACUUUUUCAAUCUGGACAGACACAAAGACACUGACCCAACACGUGUCAAUAGGCAGAUAAUUAUGCUGUUAGGCAUUUUCACUAUUUAUUUUCCAUUUCUCAGCUUUUACUUUAUAUUAUCAACUGUUCUAGGAAUGUACAUACAUUAGCCAGUGUGUCAUCAAAACAAAUAUGACAUGUAGGACAUAGUGUAAAUUUUCUAUGGUUACCAGCAAAUAAAUGACAGGAAUGGAUUUAGUUUUUACUAAAUGUAAAUUUUAUACAAUUUAUACCCUUCCAUCCAAUGUUUUCUUUAAACAAAUUGAUGUGUGUUAGGAGAAGGCAAUGGCAACCCACUCCAGUUCUCUUGCCUGGAAAAUCCCAUGGAUGGAGGAGCCGGCAGGCUGCAGUUCAUGGGGUUGCUACGAGUCGGAUACGACUGAGCGAUUUCACUUUUACUUUUCAAUUUCAUGCAUUGGGGAAGGAAAUGGCAACCCACUCCAGUGUUCUUGCUUGGAGAAUCCCAGGGACGGGGGAGCCUGGUGGGCUCUGACACGACUGAAGUGACCUAGCAGCAUCAGGCACAGCAGCACUCUUUAAUAUAUACAGCACGUUGAAAAUGCUCAUGAUCAUUGUCAUCCUCCUCUCUGUGUCCUGGUUAUUCUUAUUCAAUUGAGAAUGAAUUUUUUUAUAGUUUAAAUGAUGUUAUAUUUUAAGUGAUUAAGCCUUUCCCUCAGGGGAUCUUCCCAACCCAGGGAUGGAACUCAUGUCUCCCACAUUGCAGGUGGAUUCUUUACCAGCUGGCCAAAAGGGAAGCCCAAGAAUACUGGAGUGGGUAGCCUAUUCCUUCUCCAGGGGAUCUUCCCAACCGAGGAAUCAAACAGGGGUCUCCUGCAUUGCAGGUGGAUUCUUUACCAACUGAACCAUCAGGGAAGCCCAAUUUCACAUAGUUAUCACGUGUUCUCUCAUAAUUACUUUGCCGAUAGAGAAGUGAAAUAUUUUAUCUAAAGUGAAAAGAGAAAUUCUGAAGUCCAACAAAGGAAGAGAAAACUG